rnacentral:rRNA from 1 species
AACGAACGCUGGCGGCAUGCCUAACACAUGCAAGUCGAACGAAGUCUUCGGACUUAGUGGCGCACGGGUGCGUAACGCGUGGGAAUCUGCCCUUGGGUGCGGAAUAACUUCUCGAAAGGGAUGCUAAUACCGCAUAAUGUCGUAAGACCAAAGAUUUAUCGCCCAAGGAUGAGCCCGCGUAAGAUUAGCUAGUUGGUGGGGUAAAAGCCUACCAAGGCGACGAUCUUUAGCUGGUCUGAGAGGAUGAUCAGCCACACUGGACUGAGACACGGCCCAGACUCCUACGGGAGGCAACAGUGGGGAAUAUUGGACAAUGGGCGAAAGCCUGAUCCAGCAAUGCCGCGUGAGUGAUGAAGGCCCUAGGGUUGUAAAG